rnacentral:rRNA from 1 species
GCGAGUGAACCGGGAAGAGCUCAAAUUUGAAAUCUGGCGUCCUCCGGGCGUCCGAGUUGUAAUCUAUAGAAGCGUUUUCCGCGCCGGACCGUGUAUAAGUCUCCUGGAACGGAGUAUCAAAGAGGGUGACAAUCCCGUGCUUUACACGAUGACCGGUGCUAUGUGAUACGUUCUCUACGAGUCGAGUUGUUUGGGAAUGCAGCUCAAAACGGGUGGUAAACUCCAUCUAAAGCUAAAUAUUGGUGGGAGACCGAUAGCGAACAAGUACCGUGAGGGAAAGAUGAAAAGCACUUUGGAAAGAGAGUUAAACAGUAUGUGAAAUUGUUGAAAGGGAAACGAUUGAAGUCAGUCGUGUCCAUUGGGUUCAGCCGGUCCUGCCGGUCUACUCCCUUUGGACGGGUCAACAUCAGUUCUGACCGGCGGAUAAUGGCACGAGGAACGUGGCACCCUCCGGGGUGUGUUAUAGCCUCGCGUCGCAUACGCUGGUCGGGACUGAGGAACGCAGCUCGCCUUCAUGGCCGGGGUACGCCCACGUACGAGCUUAGGAUGUUGACAUAAUGGCUUUA